AAGUCGGAGGAAGGUGGGGAUGACGUCAAAUCAUCAUGCCCCUUAUGACCUGGGCUACACACGUGCUACAAUGGGCGGUACAAAGGGUCGCGAACCCGCGAGGGGGAGCCAAUCCCAAAAAGCCGCUCUCAGUUCGGAUUGCAGGCUGCAACUCGCCUGCAUGAAGCCGGAAUCGCUAGUAAUCGCGGAUCAGCAUGCCGCAGUGAAUACGUUCCCGGGCCUU
rnacentral:rRNA from 1 species